GAUGAACGCUGGCGGCGUGCCUAAUACAUGCAAGUCGAGCGAACAGACGAGGAGCUUGCUCCUCUAACGUUAGCGGCGGACGGGUGAGUAACACGUGGAUAACCUACCUAUAAGACUGGGAUAACUUCGGGAAACCGGAGCUAAUACCGGAUAAUAUAUUGAACCGCAUGGUUCAAUAGUGAAAGACGGUUUUGCUGUCACUUAUAGAUGGAUCCGCGCCGCAUUAGCUAGUUGGUAAGGUAACAGCUUACCAAGGCAACGAUGCGUAGCCGACCUGAGAGGGUGAUCGGCCACACUGGAACUGAGACAUGGUCCAGACUCCUACGGGAGGCAGCAGUAGGGAAUCUUCCGCAAUGGGCGAAAGCCUGACGGAGCAACGCCGCGUGAGUGAUGAAGGUCUUCGGAUCGUAAAACUCUGUUAUUAGGGAAGAACAAAUGUGUAAGUAACUAUGCACGUCUUGACGGUACCUAAUCAGAAAGCCACGGCUAACUACGUG
rnacentral:rRNA from 1 species